UUUUGAAGAAUAGCUCAGUUGGUUAGAGCGUGGUGCUGAUAAGCCCAAGGUUGCAGGUUUGACCCCCGGUACAGAAG